AUCAGGGUUGUUAUUUACUAAGGGAUUUAAAACUGCACAGCCAGGCAGAGUAACCAUUCCUCAAGGUGGACUGGAGAGAAAGCACUGAAACGUCCAAAGACGGAUCAGAAGCGAGUUCAUCUUUCAUUCUCAAAAAAAUAAUCUAACCAUGAUAUCUCGGGAUGUCGGUUGGCGUAUUUCUGAGGACAAUCUGGAACAAGCUGCACUGAAAGAUGGUCAGAGAAAUGGCUUUCAGAAUGAGCACAGCCAUCCUGGUGCUAUUAGACUUGCUGCUAAUAAUAGGUGUUUCAGCCCCAGGAAGAUCAAUCAAGAGGAGUCAUAGGGAAUGUUCAAGGAAUGGUUUUACACAUCUGCCCAGAUGGAUUAAAUUACACUUGUCUGUUUUUAGUUGCAUUACUUAGAAAUUGGUUGUCUACUUUUUUCAUUUAUGUGUCAGUGGACUGCUAAAAGGAUUUUGUAGUAAAACUCCUAUCAUACUUUCCUUGUAUUGUAUGUUAGACUUUCAGCUGGUUUACAACUUGUGCACAUAACGUAUAUGUGUACAGUUUUGAAGAAAGUCAGAUGCCUGUAUGUUUUCAUACUCUGUGUGGAUAUGCAAGUUUGAUCUCCUAUAAUCUUAAUGAUAAAUUGUGGUUGACGUAUGUAAGUUGUUGGCUGUAAUUUGUUAAUAUAUUACACAUUUUCUUCAUACAAAGAUAAAAGCUACUUCUUUUUAAUACCAAUUAAAUAUAUCUUGUGAAUGUCUGUGACUAAUCUUCUUUUUAAAAAUUCCCGAUGUUUGCAAUGUAAAAGACUUCUAGUUAUAUUUACUGAAGUGUUUUUUUUUAUUUAUCUGCUUAUGAAAUAACCAAGUAAAAUCUGUAAUUCAUUAUACUAAGAUGAAAACAUGAAACCAAGUCAGUUGUACAUCUCUUUAGCACUUAAGGUGGUAUUAUCUGAAGUUAUUUUUUUAAAUUAUGCUGCUUUUCAAAUGUGUUUAUAAAUAAAAAAGUUUCAAAUUUACCUUC